rnacentral:lncRNA from 1 species
GUCUUUAUUUGAUAAAAGUUGGUCCCUUGGCGUGAGUAUUAGACAUGAAAAUUACACAUAAAUAUCUGUCCAUAUUUAUAAAUAAAUAUUCUCUAUUAUGUUUAUUGCAUGAAGGCUGUCAAGUUUCUCGUAUUUUAUUUUUGUAGGUAAAAGGAGACAGUAAUGGCUCAGGGUUUUUGAAAUCAUUUGAAAUGUCCAAGAAGGCUGACGUCAACGAGUAUGUGAACCAUUCUUGUUAAAUGAUUACUUUUUAGAAAUGUCACCCAUUCAUCAAUUUCAAAAGUCACUCUUGUUCUUGUUCUUGUUCAAAAGGAAAAGUCAAUAACAUGACUUUUAACAUUAGCAUUGCCUGUUUUGUAUUUCAUUUAUUUGAAGUGAUGGGUAGAUUAGGGGGGGAUUAUCACUUGAAGGCGCACGGGGCAUGUUUAAACCUUGAUUUCUUUUAAGGGAUGUCUAUGCAUUCAACACAAAGACACCAUCCAGCACUGGAGUAAGGACAUCCUUUGUGCUCGUUUCAUAACGUACAGGCUUGCCAAUUGGAGCCGAAAGACUGUAUCUCACUCUUGUGUUUUUAUCUUGUAGAAAAUCUUCAAGAAGGCCUCUGAGAAAUCUGUUAUGGAGUCCAGGUAUUGAGAUUUCUUAUUGAACACCUCCCCCUAGUGGUUGAAAGUGGGUAGUUGGCAGUCUGCUUCUGCUGUCACAAUUUUUCUCCUAAAUGGCACUGAAGUUAUCACAUGUUAUUAUUGACAUAAUGAAUGCCACUCAGUCUUUGAUGUUUCAUGUUAGACGUUCUCUCUCUCUCUUCCAGUGCCAUCAGCAGCUCUUUCGCCCUUUCUGCGUCUGCAAAGAAGGCCCCUCCUGACAGGGUCUUCAGCCGUCACCUGAGGAAGCACCUGUUCAGCGACACAGACACAGACCGAGACAAGGAGAACACCACAGACGUCAGCUGGCUCAGGGACUCGGCCCGCAGGGCCAAACCCAAAGUGGCCGACUACAGCCGCCAGCCGGCCAAACCCUGCCCACCGCCAUGCACCUCAGGUGGGCUCACUGGGCUAGAGAUCAGGCGAAGAGGCAAUCUGGGGCGGCAAGGACAGGGUCUGUGAGCUGUGGGGGUGUGCCUCACCAAAGAGAGAAAGUGAGAGAGAAUGGAUGACCCAGUAAAUUAGUCUAUGACACAAACAGAUUUGUUUUCAAAAGCCAGCCACAGAGAAGAACAGUCAUUGGGCCUUGGUUUCUGGCUUUAGAAUGCAGAAUUUUAAAGAUGGAAUUUCAGAGUGUCAGCAUUCUCUACCAAUUAAGCAUGAUUCCACAAAGUCUUCAUUAGACAAACAAAAAACAUGAGCUGCAAUAGUAAUAUAAACUUGGUAUAGUAAUAGU